rnacentral:rRNA from 1 species
GACGAACGCUGGCGGCGUGCUUAACACAUGCAAGUCGAACGGUAAGGCUCCAGCUUGCUGGGGUACACGAGUGGCGAACGGGUGAGUAACACGUGGGUGACCUGCCCUGCACUUCGGGAUAAGCCUGGGAAACUGGGUCUAAUACCGGAUAGGACCGCACCGUGAGGGUGUGGUGGAAAGUUUUUUCGGUGUGGGAUGGGCCCGCGGCCUAUCAGCUUGUUGGUGGGGUAAUGGCCUACCAAGGCGGCGACGGGUAGCCGGCCUGAGAGGGUGGACGGCCACAUUGGGACUGAGACACGGCCCAGACUCCUACGGGAGGCAGCAGUGGGGAAUAUUGCACAAUGGGCGGAAGCCUGAUGCAGCGACGCCGCGUGGGGGAUGACGGCCUUCGGGUUGUAAACUCCUUUCACCAUCGACGAANGGUUUCUGACGGUAGAUGGAGAAGAAGCACCGGCUAACUACGUGCCAGCAGCCGCGGGUAUACGUAGGGUGCGAGCGUUGUCCGGAAUUACUGGGCGUAAAGAGCUCGUAGGUGGUUUGUCGCGUCGUCUGUGAAAUUCCGGGGCUUAACUCCGGGCGUGCAGGCGAUACGGGCAUAACUUGAGUACUGUAGGGGAGACUGGAAUUCCUGGUGUAGCGGUGAAAUGCGCAGAUAUCAGGAGGAACACCGGUGGCGAAGGCGGGUCUCUGGGCAGUAACUGACGCUGAGGAGCGAAAGCAUGGGGAGCGAACAGGAUUAGAUACCCUGGUAGUCCAUGCCGUAAACGGUGGGCGCUAGGUGUGGGUUUCCUUCCACGGGAUCCGUGCCGUAGCUAACGCAUUAAGCGCCCCGCCUGGGGAGUACGGCCGCAAGGCUAAAACUCAAAGGAAUUGACGGGGGCCCGCACAAGCGGCGGAGCAUGUGGAUUAAUUCGAUGCAACGCGAAGAACCUUACCUGGGCUUGACAUAUACAGGAUCGCGCCAGAGAUGGUGUUUCCCUUGUGGCUUGUAUACAGGUGGUGCAUGGUUGUCGUCAGCUCGUGUCGUGAGAUGUUGGGUUAAGUCCCGCAACGAGCGCAACCCUUGUCUUAUGUUGCCAGCACGUUGUGGUGGGGACUCGUAAGAAACUGCCGGGGUUAACUCGGAGGAAGGUGGGGAUGACGUCAAAUCAUCAUGCCCCUUAUGUCCAGGGCUUCACACAUGCUACAAUGGUCGGUACAGUGGGUUGCCAGUCCGUGAGGGCGAGCUAAUCCCGCAAAGCCGGUCCCAGUUCGGAUCGGGGUCUGCAACUCGACCCCGUGAAGUCGGAGUCGCUAGUAAUCGCAGAUCAGCAACGCUGCGGUGAAUACGUUCCCGGGCCU